rnacentral:rRNA from 1 species
GACGAACCGAGCGAACGUUGUUCGGAAUAACUGGGCUUAAAGGGCGCGUAGGCGGGCCGCCAAGUUCGAGGUGAAAUCCUCCGGCUCAACCGGAGAACUGCCUCGAAUACUGGAGGCCUCGAGGCGGGUAGGGGCACGCGGAACUGUGGGUGGAGCGGUGAAAUGCAUUGAUAUCCACAGGAACUCCGGUGGCGAAGGCGGCAUCUUGGACCGGCAUUGACGCUGAGGAGCGAAAGCCAGGGGAGCAAACGGG